UGUAUUUAAACACAGUGUGGGAAGAUUUGAUAGCGUUAUUAUUAGGCUUCUCUCUCUUCUACUCCACGCGUUGUACCUCUAGUGAAAUCAGCCACAACACGCAUAGACCGCUUUAACACUUUUAACAAUAUUUGACUUUGCUCGGAUUAUCCAUAUAAUCAAAGGAUUACUGAUUCCGGAUUAAUUAUCUUAUUGGAUAAAAUCUUCAUCACUGAAAACCUUUUUAACUUUAAAAGUUCAAGCAAGAUAACAGAAAAAAAAUGUAUUGGCCAGAACCCAGUGAAACAGACGCCAUUGUGGGCGAACACAGAUCACGUGAAGACAGGUACACACAACCAGCACGAGACAGGUGGUCUCCUGAUUUAUUUAACGAAUACACAGACUGCACGGACGCCGAUAUAUAUUCAUACACCAGUGAGAACUACUUUAAUGGCGAAGAAUAUGACGUAACAGCCACCAUCUUAACACAGAUCUUUGACGUCAUGAAUGUAUACGCCACUGAUGUUAAACAAUGUGUAACCAUUGAUGAUCGGGUCAACACGGGAUAAAAGAUAAUUAGACAAUUGAUUUUGCUAUUUUUACGAACCUUUUUGGGAUUUUAAAAUAUUGUCGAUUGUAUAUAACUGAGAACUAUUUAUCUAUUGACGAUAAACACGAACAAUACCACCAUCUUGGUUUUGAUAUUAAAUGUAAUCUGGUACUAAACGUACGCUUGUAAAUUAUUUCUUUGUGUAAAACGAAACUAGCAUAUUAUACAGUUGAGCUUCUCUAUUAGACUGGUGCUCGACUUCAGCGCGGUAAACACGCGCGGUAUAGAAGGGUGGUCUUAUAACACAGCGGGGUGCCCUGCUCCCAUUCUCGUAUACCGCAACCCACCUAGUAGCAAACCGUAAGUCGAUAACAUCCCAACAUGUGCAAUAUAUAUUGAAGGACACAAUUAAUAUCUGUAGGAUUUAUAUUGUUUAAGGUGACAAUGUUAUAAUAUUACGAUCAUAGAAUCUGUCCACUAUUGUUGUUAACAGUACAAUUUACUUUAAGAUAACCCGGAUGUUCACUGUGCCGUGUCUAUACGGUUCAUGCACGUGGUAAACAGAUUCUCAAUCUGAUUAAAACACAGAUCCUAUUUCGUUUCGUUUUUUAUAGUUCAAAAUUUCAUUUUACUUCUCUAUACUACACUAGGAUCUGGAAGAGUUGUUAUAUAACACGCAUUCUGGAUGAUGUGAGCGGUUAGCCAAUAAAAAAGGUCUGUUACGGCGAGUUUCCGUCGUGAGGUAUACGGUACUUUGUGUAACCCACUAGAAACAUCAACGCUGAUUGGUUAAUCAAAUGUCUGACGUCAACUACAACCGGACAGAUCUUUAUUUAGUAGAGGCCAUUGAAAGCAUAAAAAAACGAAACGAAAUAUAGAUCUGUAUUGAUUCUAAAACUUAGCCCAACCAAUUAUUUUGUUUAAUCAAACCAUGUUAUAAUAUUGCCCACCAUUUUGUUUGUAACAUUAUAAUGUACCCAAGAUAACCCGAAUGUUCAAACUAUCGUGUCAAUACUAUUAGUGUGAGUGGUAGAAAUAUUCUAAAACCUAACCCACAAACUUUGGUUACCUGUGUGAACUCAUCAAACACGAAGUGCUAUAUUUAUGUGUUCAAGAGAGAUUAAGCAUAUCUUGUCUCGAGCACCACAACUGUCCGACCUUUUGUUUUUAACAUUAUAAUUGACCUAAAGUAACCCGAAUGUUUACUAAAACUGCGAUUACCUAUGUGAAAUUAUAAAGAUAACUAGUGAUAUAUUCCUGUGUUCGAGUGAGAAUAAGCAUAAACUGCCCUGAACACAGCAACUGUCCAUUCUCACAUCUUCAACUUUUGUAACUUUUUAUAACUUUUUGUAAUUGAGUAGAAUAAUGUUAUAUAUUAUAAAUAAUUUAAGAUUUAAAGUUGCAUUAUGUAAGAUUUAGGUACAAAGCUGGACCACAAAGCAUAAACUGCCCCGAACACAGUCUAUUCUCACAUCUUCAACUUUUGCAACGUUUUAUAAUUUUGUAAUAUUUUACAUAAUGCAUCUUUAAAUGUUAAAUAAUACAAAAUUAUAAAACUUUGCAAAAGUUGAAGAUGUGAGAAUAGACUGUUGUUGUGUCCGGGGCAGUUUAUGCUUAUUUGUCCAGCUUUGUACCUAAAUCUUACAUAAUGCAACUUUAAAUCUAACAUUUAAAGAUGCAUUAUGUAAGAUUUAGACAAAAAGCUGGACGUUCUUGUUAUAAUAUUUAUUAUUUCUAAAAUAGAUCAUGAGAAAUGGAUAUUUAUGUUUGAAGUUAUGGCUGCUUAAAGAUGUAUCAUAGAUUGUUUAUUAUCGUAGCAACGGUAAUUGACAAUCGAGACUAAUACACCAUUUUUAAAUUAAAUUAUUAAAUGGGGACCGUGUUUCAAUCCAUUUAAAUCUCGGUCAUCCUAUGCUCUAGAGAGUUGUUUAUAGGCUUGGCAUGUGAAUAAAUGUCUAAAUAAUACAGCAGUUUAUAUAACGUUUGAAACCACAAAAAAGAUCUGCAAUAGGCAGCUUUAGCUUUUACAUAAUGCAUCUUUAAUUCUCCGCAAGAGCCGAAUCUCACAAUUUAUCAAAUAGUAUCUUAGUCUGCAGCCUAACGAAUCGUAAAUAUCCGACGGGCUUUAAACUACAAAUCAGGCGAUCUAUUAAUAAAUCGAUUUCUUUCAUCGCCAAACAAUUUACAACAUGAACUUUUAUAGAUAAUAAUCAUCUCUUGUUAUCUUAUAGUCGAUUUAUGAUCGACGAAUUAUAUACAUUUUUAAAAUUGUGGCCGUUGUUUUAAAAACAGUUUGAACUUUGUCAUAACUUUUAUCUAUUAUCUAUAUUGAAUUUGUUUUCUUGAUAUUAAAUGCAAAAUAGCGCAUCGGGACUUUCAUGAAUGACGCAACAGGUGCUGUCAGUAGAGGACAUACUAUGUAAUAAACUGUUUCAAUAUACCAUCUAGACUGUCCUGUCAGUACAAUAAAUACUAUAUACUUUUGUAUGUAUAAUAAUGAACUAAUGUAAUACAAUGUUUCAAUAUAUACCUUCUGGACUGUCCAGUCAGUACAAUAAAUACUAUAUACCUUUUUAUGUAUAAUGAUGUAAUACACCGUUUCAAUAUACCUUCUAGACUGUCAGGUAUUUAUGUAUAUGUAACUAGAUUUAUUUGACGUACCUUUGAGAAAAGGGUAAUAACUAAUUAAAUAGUCAAGGGCCUUAAUCAUGAACAUCUUGGAGGUGUUUGGUUGCUCAGUAUCUCAAUCUAGAUUGAUUUAUUUACAGUGUAUGUAUAUCUUGGCUUGUUAUAUAUCCCUUUUGAUUCGGCCGUAUACUAUAUAUUAUUAUGGUUAUGUGAAAUGGGUUUUCAAAUAAAUUGUCUUCCGAGUGGACGUUAAACCCCAUUUCUCCCUAUCCAUCUUUAAAAAAAAAAUUAAGAGGAACUAUUUGUUCAGAAGGAAAACCGUAUCACUUACUGUUCAUUUAAUAAUUCUUAAUCCCCCCCCCCCCCGCACUCACAAGCUGGCACUGUACAGUUUGUCUUCAGAAUAAAAUUAUUCAAAUCCCUAAGACUUCAAACACACCACCAUUCACUCUACAGUAUCCGAUCAGUUUAAAAAUAAGUACUAGGGUAGAUAAAUCUUUCAACGGCUAGGUAAAUCAAUCAUAGACUGUCAAUUAAAGUUUUCAUGAUUAAGUCCCUUGUUUUAAUGAUUUUAUCUGGAGUUCAGGAAAGUAUUUAUAAUACGUGUAAACACCAUCACAUUAUUCUAUUUACUUAGUCUAGAAAUCCAACAUAGAAUACCUAUAUUAUGAUUAUAACAUAAAUAAAUUAAUAUAAUCAAAUAUC